UUACAGCCAUAUCAUGUUCAAAAACUGGUUUCCAUAUGAUCACUGAAGUAAAGCAACAUUGAGCCUGGUUAGUACCAAGAUGGGUAUCUGCUUGGGAAUU